CUGUAACCUCUUCUGAGGUAUAUUCAAAACCCAGUAUUUCUACAGGCCGUUCAUCUCACAUGUACUAACCUAAUCUUCAGGAGAGGUGAACAUAAUGGAAUAAAAAGAUGGGUAAUGACUAUGCAGCUGUGGAUAGGACAGCUCAUGGUGUGAGGAAGUGGCAUGCACCCUCAGACCAAAUGUAGGAGAAGCUUCAAUCUCAUUCAUUAGUGCAGCUUUCUGCAUGAGGUGUGAGAGGCUACAUUCAAAUGUCACUGCUUAACAAAUGCUGAUAAAUAUAAUGAUUUAGCACAGUAAUUCCCGGUGAGCUCCUCACUAGAGUAGCCACGCUCUGAGGAAGACUGUUGCAUUAGCUUUCUCUGCUAAAAGUUUUCAUAAGGAAACUGAAGCGAUAGAGAAGCAGUCAGAAAACAAGACUGUUUUACCAGAGGAGACAGAUGAAAAAACAAAGGCUGUCUGGAGCCUAACCUGACCUUUCGCCUGUUGCUGCUAAAAGGGAAAAUCACAGAAAGCUGUCAAUGCACAGUGAAGUAACAGUAUCUCAAAAAAACUAGAUUACAUUUCUGAAGUUUGAUGGAACCAACCAGCAUUUUUAUUUGAUUUGAUUACUCCCUGACACAGCACCCACCUCACACCUAUAAAACAGCAAAGCUGGAAACAAAAAGAAAUUCCACACUGAUGAGUUGAAUGGAAAAUCCCCCAAAGCAAGCUGACCAAUUACGAUGAAGGCCAGAAGCAAUUUACUGAUACAGUGAACUUCAGGAAAAGGCAAAAAGAACGGUUCCUUCUAUUUAUUUCCAACCGAUAAGGCAAUUGUGAAAGAUAAACUUGUUUUCUCUUUGGUACAUUUAUAAU